UAUAAUCAUGGAAUUGACUGCGAUAGAGGGCAAGAGAGAGGUCGUGACAAAAGAAAAACUAUAGUAGAGAGAGAAAAAAUAGGAAUAAUAAAAAAUAAAAAAAAAAAAUAUUUUUUUCUACAGAAAAGAUCAAAAAUCAUAGAAAAAGGAAGAAGAUGAUAAAAUUGCACUGUUAAAAUAAAGUUGCACUAUUUUUUUUAAAAAUUUUUGCACUAUUUUAAUUGAAACUUUAUAUAUAAAUGAGCCUUUCUAUAAUUGAGUUGAGCUUUAUAUUUAGAUUAGAUUAAAAUU
rnacentral:lncRNA from 1 species